ensembl:miRNA MIR600 microRNA 600
AAGUCACUUGCUGUGUCUCCAGCUUCAUAGGAAGGCUCUUGUCUGUCAGGCAGUGGAGUUACAGACAAGAGCCUUGCUCAGGCCAGCCCUGCCC